rnacentral:lncRNA from 1 species
UUAAUUACUGGCACUGAAUCACACUACAUUUUUUGAAUACACAGCCUGGUAUAAAAACAACAUCUUGUGUAACUGCUGUGGGACUUAUAUUUAAUUUUUCUCUGUAGCAGGUGAAAAACUAACAAAUAACUUGAGAUCCAGUGCUACACCUCUCCGUUCUCUGUCCAUCUCUCCAAUUGAAGCCGAUUCUCAUCCACUACAGCCUCUCACUUUUCUCAAAGAAAUGCAGGCCUUGUCUCUCUAUAAAACCACAGGGAAUAAAGGUGCUCUGAAACUGCCUUCUCACUCCAUAACACCUGUUUCCACAACCUCAAGGGGCUCUAAGUGGAAUCCACCCGCUGCACAGGUUGAUCCCAACUCAACCCCUGGAGAAAUCCACCCUGCCCUCCCCACACAUCCCUCCAGACCUCCAGGAGGAGCAGAGAGGUGUGAUGAACAAAACCAGCCCAACAUCUUUUGAAAGAAAGUCUGUCAUUUCUGUGACAAUGAGCCAAUCCUCUCACAUAUCUGUGAGCAACAUGGCCCUGAUGUGCACUGAACUAGAGAAAACACCCGCAUGCCAGAAAGGAAGUAAGGUUGAGAGACUAGAAUUUAAGUCAGGUCCAACAGCCGUCCACAAGCAUCUUGCCCUGAGCCACUCCGCUAGUCUUUCAGAGAGAGAUGAGGACAGUGAGGAGGACAAAGAGAAUAAGGCUCCUUCUCCCUCACAGCUAGCUCUGAAAAUGAAGCCCAGGAAGCUGUUUGGGCCUACUAAUAAAUCCUUCACUCCUAGUAAGGACCCCAAUAUUAAACUGCUGAUGAAGGAUCAGAGCAGCUCAGAGGAAGAAGAGGAGGACAUAGUCACGGAGAACAGGAGAAGAAAGAGAAGUUACCAGAAAGGCCUCAAUAAAAGGGCCAAGGAAACAAUAAUAUCCACCAAGGAAGUGGAGACACUGUCAUCUUGUACGAAGUCCAGUUGCAGGCAUGCCAGUGUGGAGGCAGACAUUGAUGUGACCCAGCCUGCUCAGCAGGUGGGCUUUAUCUGCCAUCAGUUCAGCUCAGAGUUUAAGAGGAAGAUCAAGAAUCGCUGUAGGACAAUGGAUCUUUACACCAGGCAGACUUUGAAGACCUUACAGCAGCACAUGUCCUCCGUCAGUGUCCAAUAUACCAGUAUAGUAGUCAGAGGCUAG